CUGCAAAGCGAGCCGUGCGGGCAAAAUGGCACGUGCAUUUAUUCUGGAAAACCAAAAUAUUUAGAACUAUCUUUCGUUAGAUAAGACGGGUGGCGAUAGCAAGGUGUUAUCGCCGAUGGUGGUCUCACACGUGCUGUUUCCCUCUUUACUGCGAGGGAACCUGAAGCUUAUAUAACCCGCAGCGCUACCAAGGCAGACAGGAGAGCCAUCCUGGAGGCUAGCGCAAGCAACAUCAACGGACGGGUUCCUUCGGCAUACGGCAGAUUACGGCAGUGGUCUACUAGAGGAAACUACGAUUCAUGCCUGCCAAGAGGAAUUCCAGCUCCCUCGACAGUGCCGUCAACGAACCUGCGGCACAGGGCCUGCUACAGCAGCUGUCUUCCACUCUGUAUGCUUCCCCAAAUAGCUCGGCAGCACAUCCAGUCCUCGGACACCCGCUGCGCAGGAAGUUGACGGUAACGACGCUUUCCAGCCACCCGUGGUCGGAAGACUUCAUAGACUGGGAACGGCCAUCAAAGUCACCGAAGAUAUCUUCCUGCGUAGGGUGCUGUCCGCCGAUACAGACUGCCUUUCCGGUGAUAUUUUGCACUUGCCAAACCUUCGAAAAGGUGUAGUGAUAGCAAGGAGUUAUCGCUUAAAGCCCCCCCCCCCCCCCCCCCAAUCUUAAACAUAGUGUCGCUUUUCUACUGCGAGGGAACCUGAAGCGUGUCCAUCAGUAGCGCUACGGGCGCGGAAAAAAACAUCUUGACGAGUGUUGCUGCAGAGGACAUAUUACGACGCACUGGUUUUCUACAGGGAACUGUGACGUAUCCAAAUAAACAUGCUGCUGUUCGUUACCCUGAGGUUGCUUGUCUUCUCUGGGACUUGUUUGUCACUAGAUCCAGUGCGCCUGGUUUGGAUUGCCUCCUCUGCUAACCUCUUAAUAUUUUCUGAGGUCAUGUUUCGAGAGCUGUUCCAUUCCAGCUGCAAAAUAUUGAGUACAUUCUACUGAAGCUGAGAACUUCUCUUCGUGUUAAAACAUGUACGACUGACAUGUGUUGUUCUCUGUGGGAAAAUUUCAAGUCCUCCUUCCAUGCUGCCAGCGAAAUAAAUGAGUACCCUCUGA